CCUACGGGAGGCUGCAGUGAGGAAUAUUGGUCAAUGGACGAGAGUCUGAACCAGCCAAGUAGCGUGAAGGAUGACUGCCCUAUGGGUUGUAAACUUCUUUUAUAUGGGAAUAAAAUGUUCCACGUGUGGGAUUUUGUAUGUACCAUAUGAAUAAGGAUCGGCUAACUCCGUGCCAGCAGCCGCGGUAAUACGGAGGAUCCGAGCGUUAUCCGGAUUUAUUGGGUUUAAAGGGAGCGUAGGUGGAUUGUUAAGUCAGUUGUGAAAGUUUGCGGCUCAACCGUAAAAUUGCAGUUGAAACUGGCAGUCUUGAGUACAGUAGAGGUGGGCGGAAUUCGUGGUGUAGCGGUGAAAUGCUUAGAUAUCACGAAGAACCCCGAUUGCGAAGGCAGUUCACUGGACUGCAACUGACACUGAGGCUCGAAAGUGUGGGUAUCAAACAGGAUUAGAUACCCGAGUAGUC
rnacentral:rRNA from 1 species